rnacentral:rRNA from 1 species
AGCACAGGUUUACCUGUGUGACUGCGUACCUUUUGUAUAAUGGGUCAGCGACUUAUAUUCUGUAGCAAGGUUAACCGUAUAGGGGAGCCGAAGGGAAACCGAGUCUUAACCGGGCGUUAAGUUGCAGGGUAUAGACCCGAAACCCGGUGAUCUAGCCAUGGGCAGGUUGAAGGUUGGGUAACACUAACUGGAGGACCGAACCGACUAAUGUUGAAAAAUUAGCGGAUGACCUGUGGCUGGGGGUGAAAGGCCAAUCAAACCGGGAGAUAGCUGGUUCUCCCCGAAAGCUAUUUAGGUAGCGCCUCGUGAAUUCAUCUCCGGGGGUAGAGCACUGUUUCGGCUAGGGGGCCAUCCCGGCUUACCAACCCGAUGCAAACUGCGAAUACCGGAGAAUGUUAUCACGGGAGACACACGGCGGGUGCUAACGUCCGUCGUGAAGAGGGAAACAACCCAGACCGCCAGCUAAGGUCCCAAAGUCAUGGUUAAGUGGGAAACGAUGUGGGAAGGCCCAGACAGCCAGGAUGUUGGCUUAGAAGCAGCCAUCAUUUAAAGAAAGCGUAAUAGCUCACUGGUCGAGUCGGCCUGCGCGGAAGAUGUAACGGGGCUAAACCAU